UCCCUGGUGGUCCAGUGGCUAGGACUCUGCACUUUCACUGCAGAGGGCCUGGGUUCGAUCCCUGGUCAAGGAA
rnacentral:tRNA from 2 species